rnacentral:rRNA from 1 species
UAGGUCCUACGGGGCGCAGCAGUGGGGAAUAUUGCACAAUGGGGGAAACCCUGAUGCAGCGACGCCGCGUGAGUGAAGAAGUAUUUCGGUAUGUAAAGCUCUAUCAGCAGGGAAGAAAACGACGGUGCCUGACUAAGAAGCCCCGGCUAACUACGUGCCAGCAGUCGCGGUAAUACGUAGGGGGCAAGCGUUAUCCGGAUUUACUGGGUGUAAAGGGAGCGUAGACGGCAUGGCAAGUCAGAUGUGAAAGCCCGGGGCUCAACCCCGGGACUGCAUUUGAAACUGUCAGGCUGGAGUGCAGGAGG